AUAUCUGCGCAUAUAUCAUGUAUAUCAAAAAAAUCUAGUUUACAAUAUGCUGAAUUUAAAUCUAAAAUAAUUUUAGAUCUAACUAAACAUGCAUUAUUCAGAUCUAAUCUAAAUAUUUUCAUAUUUGAUCAUUCUUUAGAUCACAUCUAAAUCAGAUCUGAUCUAAUUUAGAUCUAAGAUCCAAACAAUCUGAUUCUGAUAUCAGUUGAAGGAUCGGAUAGCGCACCGAAACGGUUUAGAUCAAACGCAGCAGAACUCAAACAUUCUUUUAUUUGAUCCGACUUAUAAGAUUUAGAUCCAAAUCAGAUAAAAUCAUAAUAAAUAGUAUAUUAAAUAAUAGAAAUCAACAUGCAUAAGAGAUAAGAGGUGAUUUCAUCACCGUGUAUGGGUAGAUGAUCUCCGUGUUUGAUGAUCCGAUGAUCUACGAGGUUCGCUGUGGAGUCGUGCACGUGCCCAACCUCUACAGAUAUCUACUUAUACUUGAUCUAGGAUGCCUUCUCUUCGAUCAAUCUACCUACUCCUAGGCGAAAUUGCAAGCUUCCUAAUCAGAUUCAAAUCUGAUGGCGUUCGACACCUUGAACCCACCAGAUGGCUCUUUCAACACCCUUGGACGUAGAAGAGGGAUGGAUAUUAGAAAUAGAAGAGGGAGGAGGCAUGGAAAAGAGGAAGAGAGGUAUGAAAAAUGAUCUAUUGACUGUAACUCCUUUGGUCGAUAAAAAAAACUCCUUUUUAUAAGAAUUUGAUCAGAUCAGAUGCCUUAAAAUAGAAGAACUCUCCUAGAUCCAUCCCAAUCUGAU
rnacentral:lncRNA from 1 species